UGACCAGCGAGGGCAGGGGUUUGGCUGUACGGAAAUAGGAGGUAGCAGCCCCACCGGCAUUCGACUUCGCCACCACCAUCUUGAAAGAUCUACACACCGAGUCAUGGGGUGGGGAGUAUUCCCUGCCUUCAUAUAGGGAAAGCGUGGGCAGCCGGUUUCUCAAGACCUCAACACAGGCGAAAGGCGCGGGCAGACGGGUGCGCCUGCGUCUUCUUCCCGGGUCUAGUCCCCUGGCUUAGAGCGCUCAAGAGCCGCGAUUGCGCCUGCGCGACCUCUCCGUGUUCGUAGGUGCGGAUCUUGUGGCUCAAGGCAGCACUCUAUCCCCUCGCCUGCCCUUGCCCGGGGCCCGCUGCCCUUACUGUGUAAUAGCCAAAGGAGAGGAUGAUGACGGUGACCCAGAACAGACUGCUCCUCUGGAAAGCCUGUGCACCACAACUACUGAGCCUGCAUGCCACAACUACUGAAGCUCGUGUGCCUAGAGCCUGAGCUCUGCAACAAGAAAAGCCACUGCAAUGAGAAGCCCACGUACCACAACGAAGAGUAGCCUCCGCUCGCUGCAACUAGAGAAAGCCCGCGUGCAGCAAUGAAGACCCAACAACAAAGACCCAAUGCAGCCAAAAAUAAACAAAUUAAUUAAUUUUUAAAAAGCUCACUCCCGAGAAGAUCCUGAUGAAGGAAGAUUGUUUUGAAGCUUAACCAAAGGGCACUCUGCAGCACUAUUUCACAAAACCCCUACCCUGGGCUAUCUACCAGAGAAUGAUUGGUCAAAGAAAUUGGCAUUCCAAAGGACUAAUGUCAGCAUCAUGUGGCAUAAAUCAUUUUCCCUCUCCUCUUUUAAGCAA